UGGGGAGGCGCAGGGGCCUAAUCAUGCAGUCGAACGCUUCUUUUCCCACCGGAGCUUGCUCCACCGGGAAAAGAGGAGUGGCGAACGGGUGAGUAACACGUGGGUAACCUGCCCAUCAGAAGGGGAUAACACUUGGAAACAGGUGCUAAUACCGUAUAACAAUCGAAACCGCAUGGUUUCGUUUUGAAAGGCGCUUUACGGUGCCGCUGAUGGAUGGACCCGCGGUGCAUUAGCUAGUUGGUGAGGUAACGGCUCACCAAGGCCACGAUGCAUACCCGACCUGAGAGGGUGAUCGGCCACAUUGGGACUGAGACACGGCCCAAACUCCUACGGGAGGCAGCAGUAGGGAAUCUUCGGCAAUGGACGAAAGUCUGACCGAGCAACGCCGCGUGAGUGAAGAAGGUUUUCGGAUCGUAAAACUCUGUUGUUAGAGAAGAACAAGGGUGAGAGUAACUGUUCACCCCUUGACGGUAUCUAACCAGAAAGCCACGGCUAACUACGUGCCAGCAGCCGCGGUAAUACGUAGGUGGCAAGCGUUGUCCGGAUUUAUUGGGCGUAAAGCGAGCGCAGGCGGUUUCUUAAGUCUGAUGUGAAAGCCCCCGGCUCAACCGGGGAGGGUCAUUGGAAACUGGGAGACUUGAGUGCAGAAGAGGAGAGUGGAAUUCCAUGUGUAGCGGUGAAAUGCGUAGAUAUAUGGAGGAACACCAGUGGCGAAGGCGGCUCUCUGGUCUGUAACUGACGCUGAGGCUCGAAAGCGUGGGGAGCAAACAGGAUUAGAUACCCUGGUAGUCCACGCCGUAAACGAUGAGUGCUAAGUGUUGGGAGGGUUUCCGCCCUUCAGUGCUGCAGCUAACGCAUUAAGCACUCCGCCUGGAGAGUACGACCGCAAGGGUUGACACUCAAGGAAGUGACUGGGCGCCCGCACAAGCCGGUGAGCAUGGUCGUUUAUUUCGAAGCAAC
rnacentral:rRNA from 1 species